AAGAGUUAGAUAGAUUGGAAUGUCUGCCAGAAUGGUUUUUUCAUAACAAUCAGGAUCUCUCAUAUUUGUAUAUAUCAGAAUGUCGUGUGUUGAGAGAAUUACCAGAUGGCUUGGACACCCUCCAUUCUUUGGAGAAAUUGUUUAUUUUUAUUGUGAGAAUCUGAAGUCGAUUGGUAAUCCAAGUGGUGGAGGAAGGCAAUCACAGGCGAUCCUCCGUCAGCUGAUUAUUAAAGAAUGCGGAGAGCUGAUGGAAUUGCCGUGUGAAAUGCUAGAGUCGUGGGCACCUACAAUUGAGGAACUUGAAUUGGCGAAUUGGAAGGAUUAAGGAGGCUAAAGAAUCUACCAAUGCUAAUUGACUGCCUCGCUAAAUCCUCUACUCGUCUCACACGGUUAACAAUCAGAGGUGUUCCUAAAUUGAAGGGUGCUAGUAGUGGUAGUGUUGAGGGUUGGGAUUUAGCAGCCUGAAAGAAUUACAGAUAGAUGUGAGUGUGGAAUGGUCAAGAGAGGAUAGUGUUGGCAUUGCAGAGACUGUGGAAGGGAUGUUGCGAGGAUGCUGCUACUCACUUACUGGUUACAAUUGAAGGGGAUGGAAAAUUGGGAGUGGCUGCCCCAAUCAAUUCAACAUCUCACCUCUGUUUAUGUAUUAAUAUUGGAGAAUAUAGGAGUAGAAGAAUUGCCCCAAUGGUUGUGGAACCACUCAUCUCUAAGACAGUUAUGUCUAUAUAGUUGCAACAAGUUGAAGCGUCUGCCCUCUGUGGAUGAUUCGAAUAAAUUAAAAGGGUUAUCUAUUAGAGAUUGUCCGGAGCUACGCAUUGAUUCGGAGUGGCGCAGCCACCAUGACCAUCUGAAAAUCUAUGUUGAUGGCCAGCCCGUGUGAAUGUUUUAGCAAUUCUAGCUGACGAGCUUAGAAAGUCACGGUCUCAGAAUGACUUGAUAUUCGCACAAGACUGUGAAACAAACUAAGGAAUGAAAAGUUGGAUUUCGCUGGAGUGUUGAUGCAUGUAUAGCAGGUGUGAUUCUGCUUGGAAUCCGGCAAUGGCUCCGUCGAUAGUUGGCGGGUGAGGCAAUG